GCCGCUGGUUGAUGUUGGUCAUGGAUUUACUGCAGGGAGGGGCGUCUUCCUGCAGACUCUGCACAGACCGGAUCGGAUUUUAGGAUCUGCUGAUCCAUAGUCCUGAUCCAACACUUUCAUAACAUAAACAUGCAGUGCGUUGUGGGCGGAGUCAUCCUGGCCUGAGUUGAUUGGGUGAACUGAGAUAUUCAGCUUCACAUCAGAGGCGUUUCACUUCCUGGAUCGAGGACGUUUACAGGAAGAGUCACUCAGUCAUGAAGGAGCUCCUCCUGACAUCCAGGGGGCGCUGCAGGAUCCUCCAGACAAGAAGGUUCAGGAACAACCGGACCGUCUCCAGCCGAUCAGUCAAAUGCAGAUUAUUAUUUAAGGUUUGCAUUAUCCACAUUGUCGACUUCUGAGUCAUUUUACUCCUCAGAAACAAUCCACCAGGAAACUGCAGCUGACUCAGAACUCUGCGGCUCGGGUUCUGGUUAAACAGUAGAACCACAUGAGUCCAGUUCUGCGGUCUCUCCACUGGCCACUGGUCUGCCAGAGAACAGUUUGGUUCAGCACCAAAACACACGACCUCCUGACCCAGUAAGAACCAGCAGGACCUCGCCAGUCAUCUGGAUCUUUCAUCAGUUCCUAGAACUACUCAUGGAGAAGCUGCAUUCAGCUUCUAUGCUCCACAGAUCUGGAAGGCCUGAGACUUUGUAUUCAAGUUUCAUGAAAACACUUUCAACUAUCUUUGUACACAAAAUGUUUUAAAAUAGACUCACCUUUUUUACAGAACUCCACUGUAUUUUCAUAUAUCGUUAUAUCUACUAUUAUUAACAACUUUAUAUGUAUAUACGAUUAUAAGAAAUGUUCUUAUUCAGUUAUUUAUUUAUUGUGCUGUUAAAAAAAACGCUCGUCUGGUUGGAUGAUAACUGACUUAAGUUCUGCGUUGUAUCUAAAUACUGUGACAAUAAAGUUUAUUCAAAUCUUA